rnacentral:rRNA from 1 species
AGAACGAACGCUGGCGGCAUGCCUAAUACAUGCAAGUCGAACGAACUCUUCGGAGUUAGUGGCGCACGGGUGCGUAACGCGUGGGAAUCUGCCCUUGGGUUCGGAAUAACAGUUGGAAACGACUGCUAAUACCGGAUGAUGACGAAAGUCCAAAGAUUUAUCGCCCAGGGAUGAGCCCGCGUAGGAUUAGCUAGUUGGUGAGGUAAAGGCUCACCAAGGCGACGAUCCUUAGCUGGUCUGAGAGGAUGAUCAGCCACACUGGGACUGAGACACGGCCCAGACUCCGUACGGGAGCAGCAGUAGGGAAUAGUUGGACAAGUGGGCGAAAAGCCC